AUGGCGACCCCAAAGAGAAAGCAUGAAAGAACCUUUAGAGUAGAGUUCAACACUUAAGGCAAGUAGACAAGCCAAAGACCUCUUAAGGAUCAGGCUUGAAGAGAAGGGAGAGUUUGGGAAAAGAAAAAAUAAAGAAAAGCUGGAAGAAGGACAAGCCUAAUGGGAGACAAAGCCUCGCUUUAUCUACAAAAGGGGGAAAAGGUUGUUUUUCAAAGUUAAAGAUAAAGCCAUCUGUCAUAUUUGGCCAAGCAUCUCAUGACAAGUCCUUCUGACAAGCACUUAAAGAGUUAAAGGUCAAGAUGAAGUUGAAUGAUGGCCAAGAUUAAAGGAGUCAUACCUGAUCCCUGUGAAGACUGCUGGCCCUGCGCUGCUUUAGCACAAUGAUCAGUUGGCCCUGAAUGAGUUGCAGAAGGCCUUCUCCCUGAUAUAGGUACCUAACUGGGACCUCUGGGAGACUGGUCCCUGACCCAGAGUUUCAGGUGACCUUACUUCCAUUCUUUCAGUGAGAUCAUCUCCCUGCAACAA
rnacentral:sRNA from 1 species